AUUGAACGCUGGCGGCAGGCUUAACACAUGCAAGUCGAGCGAGCGGCGGACGGGUGAGUAAUGUCUGGGAAACUGCCUGAUGGAGGGGGAUAACUACUGGAAACGGUAGCUAAUACCGCAUACCAUCAGAUGUGCCCAGAUGGGAUUAGCUAGUAGGUGGGGUAAUGGCUCACCUAGGCGACGAUCCCUAGCUGGUCUGAGAGGAUGACCAGCCCCACUGGAACGGGGACACGGUCCAUACUCCUACGGUAGGCAGCAGUUGGGCAUAUUGCACAAUGGGCGCGAGCCUGAUGCAGCCAUGCCGCGUGUAUUACGACGGCCUUCGGGUUGUAAGGUACUUUCAGUCGGGAGGCGUUACCGACCGAAGGAGCACCGGCUGACUCCGUGCCAGCAGCCGCGGUAAUUC
rnacentral:rRNA from 1 species